GGUAAGAUGGCUGAAUGUCUAAGCGGCGGGCUGUAGUCUCGCAAACAGAGGUUUAAUCCCUCUUCUUAUCA
rnacentral:tRNA from 1 species